AUGAACGCUGGCGGCGUGCCUAAUACAUGCCAGUCGAGCGAACAGACGAGGAGCUUGCUCCUCUGACGUUAGCGGCGGACGGGUGAGUAACACGUGGAUAACCUACCUAUAAGACUGGGAUAACUUCGGGAAACCGGAGCUAAUACCGGAUAAUAUAUUGAACCGCAUGGUUCAAUAGUGAAAGACGGUUUUGCUGUCACUUAUAGAUGGAUCCGCGCCGCAUUAGCUAGUUGGUAAGGUAACGGCUUACCAAGGCAACGAUGCGUAGCCGACCUGAGAGGGUGAUCGGCCACACUGGAACUGAGACACGGUCCAGACUCCUACGGGAGGCAGCAGUAGGGUAUCUUCCGCAAUGGGCGAAAGCCUGACGGAGCAACGCCGCGUGAGUGAUGAAGGUCUUCGGAUCGUAAAACUCUGUUAUUAGGGAAGAACAAAUGUGUAAGUAACUAUGCACGUCUUGACGGUACCUAAUCAGAAAGCCACGGCUAACUACGUG
rnacentral:rRNA from 1 species